rnacentral:misc_RNA from 1 species
GUUUUGAUCUUUUCAUCUAAUUUGUUUAUUUGUUAAAACUUAAAAGAUAGGUCAGUUUGUGCCUUUGUGGACGUCAUUGAUAUGGGCAUAAUGUAGUUCUUAGGCUUGUUUGGCAUUUUUUUCCCCUCUCAUAAGGGGAGCGAAAGAGUUGUGAGAUUUCGAACUCUGACGGCGGGCACUGGACUAUUGAGCUAAUGGUUCGAAAGGCGUGCGUGAAUUUUUGAGAAAAGAACUGUGAUGGAGUGCAGAAUUGCAAAAUGAUUUGUGUAACGUAAGAUAUGGAUUUUCGUUUGAUCAAGUAGUAGGAAAAGAAUGGGUCAUUGCUUAAUUGUGAAAUCAUUUAUUUCACAAAUGUCAGAAUGGUCCAGCCAGUUGAUUCAUACACUGAAAGCGCAUGGUGAUUCUCUAGUUUGUUGUCAUAAUCAUGAUUCAGUUAGAUUCAAAUGGAGAAUCAAUUGUGUAAUUUCAUUUUGUUUAUUUAUCCUCAUGGAGAUUAUCAAAAUAGCAUUCUGUAGAGAAAAAUGUCAUACUUUGGAAAAAGCUUGAUUUUAGGUUACAAACAUAAGAGGAAGUGAAUGGAUAAAUGUUUUAUUUUUCUGUAUU